GCCCUGCCUGGCCUCACCCGCGGUGAGACACGCCGUCCCGCGUCACCCGCGCCCAGCUCGAGUACGAAGGCGUGGAGCAAGAUGGCGGGGCCGCCGUGGCCGUGACGGCGGGUUGUGGUGGUCGAUCUCGGCGAGGCGGCGACGACUGCGGCUCCAUGGCGAGCGCGAGGCGGGAGCGGCGGAGGUUGGUGCGCCACGGAGGAAGUUGAAGAGCGAGGGCGUGAGGGGCUGGCCAUCCUCGCGAAGCCGGUGGAAAGGGGGCUUCGAUCCUGUCUGAUGCAAUUAUUCUUGGGGUUCCUAUAUAAGAGAUAUAUCUACGGUGCUCAGCUCAGCCUACCUUCGAUUCGUACGGCGUCGCCCAUGGAUCCUCAUGUCAGUUUAGGAAUUUCCCCCAUCAAUUUGGUUUCCUGCUUUACGGUCAUGCAAUGCCAAUUUAGGAUCAUGUGAAAAUAAAUUCAAUCUGUAUCUGGUGCGAGGCCGUCCAAGUCAGCCCGUGCCUCUGCAUUUUCUGUCCAUGUUUUUGGCUAAUUUUAGAAGUCCCCGCCAUGAAUGAAAAGAAAACAUGGACAGGAUAGUCCAUUUUCAUCUUGCUAGUUUUGCAUAAACAAGACACUACGGAGGAUUGAGAGAUGGUGAAAUUGAACAAAAUAAAUAAAUUAGGAGGUGUCUACUCAUAAUAAUACUUAGCCAUGCUAGUUUGUCAUCUUUAUUUGCAUCACUUGUUCAUCAUGUAUUAUAUCUUUAUUAAGCAACUUUUUUAUGUUUAGAACUCUUUAUGGCUGAAUCUGGUUAGGCACAUUUUCAGUUCAGUUUUGCCGUAUAGUUAUCUUCUGAUGGCUGCAUGCAGCUUUUCACCCUUCAGUAAGGAGUCCUUUAUUUGUUGUAGAUCCUUGUCGCCCAUGAGUGAUGGACGCUGUAUAGUUAUGCAGUGCUGCUGGUGUGAAGGUUAUUACCCUUUAUGGUUUAUUUUUCUUUGAUCAUAUCUUCUUUCCAUCUAUAUCUACUUCAAAUAUUCUUUCCAUGGAAUCUCAACCGAUUGGGUUUGUAAUAGGAGGUUUGGAUCAUGCAGUUUGCAGAUAUUCAGUUAUAAAAUAUUUGUGGUUCAUCAGUUCCUUUUGUGCAUGUUGUCAAGAAUGUGUCAUAUGAGCCAAGAUUCAAACGCUUCUGGAUGUGAAUUUGACAAAACGGAUCAUCUUAGUAGGAUGAGUGUCCUGAAGAAUCGGAAGAUGCUGCAAAACAUGAUGAUGUGAUACUGCCAUGCUAUUUCUACUGGUCUCUCUGCUAGUGCCUUAUCGCUCGUUCACCAAUCUCCAUCCUCACCGUGGUCUCUGUACUCAACAAGGGUGAACUCUACAAGUUCUAGUAGGCUCCUCGGUGACUCCUCACAGGAGAGCUUUUGGCCUGAUCUGAUGGAGCUGAGAGGUCAAAGGAAGAAGUCAAACCUGAAGAAGUGCAGGGAGGAAAUUACAGCUGCGUGUGUCCGGCUGGUUCAGGGGAUGUGCAGGGCGGCCGUAGCCAUGCGGGUGUCGAGGCAGGCGAUCUCGCGGAUGGAUGCCAUGCUGCGAGGGUAGGUUCCUGGGCGCCCGCUACGUUGAUGACGGAUUCCACGCUGCGAGCGGCAACAAUCCGCGACAAUCGGCGAUGGCGAUCGUGCAGGGAGGCGACGGUGUUGGUGGGCGGCAUCUGGUGCGGUGGUGACUCAAGGCAGACAAACGUCGAGGUCAAGGGCGAGGGAGCAGAUUUGAUUGAGUUUCCUUAGUUUGCGAUUUGAUUGCGUGAUUGUAGGGAAACACAGGAGGGAGCAGAUUUGGUUGUGUUUCCUUAGUUUGCGAUCUGAUUGCGUGAUUGCAGGGAAACAUGGGAUUGGUUGUUGGAAUACUCCUCUGGUGGUGGAGUACGGUCAGUCAUUAGAAAUUGCUAAGUACACACCAUCCCGCUAUUAGAUAAAUGAUGGCCGUUAGAUUGAAA